ensembl:lncRNA
AUGGCUGGAAAUGCAUUUUUAUUAUCUGAGAGUUGAAAAGCCCAUUACAAUUUCCCCUACUUUGUGCCAGCCUAAGGAAAAAAUAACUUGCUUUACAAAUAAGGCCACAAAUGAAUCAAGUCAUAGUCAGAUUCACUAAAAUCUAGGUAAGUGACAGUUGCAUUUAAUCUGGGACAAUCUGAAGGUAAAUUAGCACUACAGAGUAUACCCAGUAACAAAGAAAUUAGGAUUUAACUUUUCAACCAAAUAGAUACAUGCAUCAAAAAUCUCCUUUGAGUAGUUUGGCAAUAUGCACAAGAUACUGGCAGUAUUUUGAAUUCCACAUUGGUAAAAAGGAAAAGGCUAAGCCCGGAGCUGAAAGUUCAAGCAAAAUGGAGUUUGAAGAGAAAACAGUUUUUUUCUUUAACUACUGGCAUGCUGAUAUUUGGCACAUCAGUUGCUGCUUACAAUAAAUACACGGUGAGUAGGGAAGGACACAGGCUGCUUAGUUAAAUUCUAUCUACAGCAAAUCUGCAAGGCUAUGAACGAAAAGUGAUUUCACCAAAUCCCAUUUGGCUGUAAAAUUGAACAAACAAAAAUGCCAACUCUGUUAAGUCACAUUGCAUGGCUUGUUCGAGAAAAGCACUUGGAGAAGAGACAAUUUCCUUAAAUUCCUCAUAUAAAUAAUUUUUUAAAAAAAAUAACAAAAAAAAAUCCAACACAAUUUUAGAAUUAUAGAAGUUCUGAUCUUGUUUGCUUAUAAAAGUAAUUUCAGCUUAAAGAGAACAUAUUUUAACUUAAAAUUUUAAAGUCCAGAUAGGAGGACUAGAGCAUUUUGAACAGGAGAGGCAAAGCUAAUCUAUUUCUAUUAAUUUUUGCUUAUUUUGGGGGUUUUCUUUGUUUGUUUUGGGUUCUUUUUUUAAGCUACCUAUAACACUUAUCUAUGGGAUUUUUAGAUCACGCAGCACAUUUGUCCUGGUACCAGCUAUGACAGAAUUAAAUGUCUUCAUCAAAGCUAGAAUGGGGUUUUGUAAUUGGGAGGAAAACAUUUUUUAUAUCAGAGGAAUGUUGCAGAAAUUGCUGAGCAGAGCUUACACAAUGUCAAGGCUUUCUGUCCUGUCAACGACUAGGCUGGAAAUGCACAAGAUAUUGGGACAACUGACCCCAGCUGACCAAAGGAUUAUUCUAUACCAUAUGGUGUCAUGCUCAGCAAUCAAACGGGCAGGGUUGGAGUCUGGCUAGAGCUGCCAUUGCUCAGGAAUGUUUGGAGUGAUGGCAUUUUUUUUCCUCAAUAACCAUUGACGUGAUGGAGCUCUGCUUUUGUGGAGAUGUCUGAGCACCUGCCUGAUAAUAGGAAGCAGUGAAUGAAAUCCUUACUUUCCUUUGCUUGCACAUGCAGAUUUUGCUAUAGCUAUUAAACUGUCUUUAUCUCAACCCACACACUUUUUCAUUUUUGUCCUUCCAAUUCUCUCCCGCAUUCCACUGUCCUGUUGGGCUGGUGAGCAAGUGGCUGCAUGUGGCCCAGUGCUCAGCUGCCCCCUGGGGCUAAAUCACAACAAUAACCUUAAUACUCAUUCAGAUGAGGCAAUGACUUCACUCAGAUAAUUGUGACAUUUCAAAAAAACUCUUGAAGUGCUUUUCACAAGUUAAUAUUAGUCAUACGAAUACACAUCAAUGAAGACGGAAAAGAAAGAACAUGAAAUGGGAUAUUAAUAUCAGCACAGUUUUAGGAUGAUGAUCUCUCAGGAUGUAGCAGCAGCAUGAAACCACUGUAGUAAGGUUCUUUAGGCUACACAGAAAGAGAAGCAAUCCUGUUACAACACUGACUUUCCACUUCUGUUUUCCACGCUAGAAUGUGCUAUUCUGGUUUAGGACUGGCACCUCAUAGUAGCAGAGGAACAGCUCCUUCUCUCUAGUAAGCCCACUUUUACCAAAACAUUUUCCCUUUGGGUUUGUGAUCUCAGAUAGUAUCAGAAGGAAGAAAUAUGUGGAGGGAGGCUACAAAUCCACAAAAUCAUUACAAGGUAUGAACCACCAACAGCAUGUUUGUAACUAAUUUACGUACCAAGAACAAAAAUCACAGCAGCUCUUACAUGGAUCAAUAAGUCAUCAGAAGGCACAGUGUCUUUUUUUUUUCUAGGAAAGAAUUUCCUAGAACUUCUUCUUGGGAAAUUUUGCCCUUGGACAUUUUAAGGAAAUAGCAUUCCAGAUUUCUUACUCCUGGUCCUUUGAAUAUUGCUGAAAUUCAACAUUUAAGGUAAGGAAUUUCACUCCUUUAACCCAUUCAUGCACUUCAGAACACAAGCAGAAUAUUUUACCUAUCUUUCCCCACAAAUACAGCAUUCAAAUUUUCACAAGGUUUCAGAAUAUAUGCAGAAUUAAAAAUAAUUUUCUUUAUUUUAUAUUGUUAAAAAUCUUUUGAUAUCUAUAGAAUUUAUAUUCUAGAUUAUGUAGCAGAUAUCUUACAGAACAGGUUCACAGACCUGCUACACUCCUGCCCUGAGAUUUUGCUGCUACUAAUUAUGGCAUGGUGUGAUACAUGAAAUAUCAGGGUAUUUUUUAAACUGCAUUAUGAUUUCUUUCCUGUAUGUCAUCAUUAACAGUCAUUCAUAUGAUAUCAUUACAAAAAGAUGUCAUUUUAAAGAAAAGUUGCUAAAGGAAAAAAAAAAAACCCAACAUUUUCCUUUGUAUGGACCGCAGUUGACAAAGGAUAUCUAUACCCAAAUACAUUCUCAGAAAACAAUCACUUCUACUCUAGAGAGGUACAAGUACAAAUUUCAGCCUUAAAAGAAAGUCCUUUUCCAGUCUCUGCUUUCACUGUUUAAAGUUUUUCGUUUACUUCAUCAUGUGCAUACACCAACACAUAUUGAUAAAAGGUUCAACAAACUUCUCAGUUUGAAAAGAACAGACUACUAAAAUAGCAAGAGACAUGUAACUAAAAAUAGAAAUGUAUUGGCCUAUUAAAAGGUCCUGUGGCAAAUUACACUAACAGAAAAAACUGUCAAUAUUACAACAGCAGCAGCAUUUUACUAAAGCAUUGAUGUUAGUUAAGUUUUCUUACCAAAGAAAAGCUAAGAAAAAGGCAGCUUGUGCCUUUAACAUUAAAAAGACUAAAUUAAUAGAAUUUACACUGCUUCUUUCUCCAAAAACCACAGCAAAAUAGAAAAAUUUACAGGUUUGGGUAUAACAAACUGAAUCCUUCCCAAAACUCACACAAGAGAAUAUAGAACAAACUGCCCUGCUGUCAAUUUCAUCAUUAGAUACUAAUUAGAAUAUUUUGGAGAUUUUCUGAGCUGGAUAUACUAAUCUACUGAUGUUCACAAGUCAUUCACAGUUUCACAUCACUGGAACAUUCAAAAUUGUCCCAAUGAUUCAAUCUGCUAACGAAAGGGUUACCUGCCCAUGAUGGUAGUGGUGUUUUGAGGUAGAUGAUUUUUACAAUUUCUUUGAAUCUUCUAUUAUUUUAUGAAAAUUAAAUAUUGUCUAAUAGGUAAAAGAGCACCCAUGACUAAACCACAGAGAUUAACUGGCAAUUGUUGAAGAUUCAGGAGACUACUCACACUGAAUAUCAGAGAAUCAUUAUGCAUACAAGUUGCAUAAAGUUGGUAUUUUCUUGCCAAUUUAGCUUCCUACCGAGAACUUGAAAUAUUUGCCUCAGAUUAUUCAUUGGAUUGUUCAUCCAUUCCCAGACUCAUCAUUGUAUCAGUUUGUUGAGAGAACUGCACAGCCAUUAAACAGACUCAUGGACAACAAGUAGGAAGCAGUUCAAGCAAUGACCAAAUGUCAAGCAAAAUUUUACUCUUGAGUGCAGAAAAGUUACUCUGGUCUUUGAGGGAGGGAAACAAGCAAAACCCAAAAAACAUUAGCUUGACUCCAGAAGUCCAUUACCUUCACUGGGGUCCAUGUUAACUGGAAAAAGUGACAGUGUUGGGAAAAUCACCUUGGCAAACUCACAAAAUCAUACUAAGUUGAUAAAGGAAUUUUUUUUUUUCAAAUUUUUUGUUUAUUUUAUAUAGCCAAAAGUACUGAAUCAUAAAAAAAAAAAAAACACCAAAACAAACGAAAUAAAAAAAUCAAACGCAAAACAAAAACCAACCAAAACAAGACAAUCCCAUGCCACAUAACAGAUACACAAGAAGAACAAGACCUGCAAGAGGUGAAAAAGCCAGAAAAUUUCUUCAAAGGCUAUACACCAUGGAAGUGCAUCACUGCUUUCUGCUGUUGAUGUCAAAAGGGAUUUAAAAAGAAGCUUUGGGAAGGUGCAUAAGGGAGGUUGAGGUGACUGACAGUAUAAAUGUUAAUGCUGGGUGUGAGCAGAAAACUUUGAGAAACCAAAGAACAAAAGAAAAAAGGAAAUAUGGCCUGCGGGCAAGUAGAACAGGACUUUCUUCAGGAACAAGAACAGCUUUCUUGUCUGGCAAGGAACAGCUGCUGCUGUAGAACAGAGGUCAAGGAAAGGUAUGGACAAACACCAAGUCCGGUAUAUCAGAAAACUCCACUAAAUAAAAAAUAAAAAAAAUAAAAAAAAACCCUCAAAAAACAAAACCGACCUACCAACCAAAAAAACACCCUUAAAAUGAACCAAGCAUUGUCAGCCUUAGAUGGCAUCUUAAUGUUUAGUAACAGACACUAGUGUAUCCAAAUAUAAGCUAAACCCCAUGAUGUUUCAUUUUAUGUUGAUGACUAGGAACACACUGUGAAAUUAGUUUUGUACUUUCUCUAAUUUUUUUUUCCACUUGACAGUUGGAUUCUCUGAAAGGCAGGCCACUUUAAUAAAAGAAAGACCAUCAAAUUAUAAAUACGUAUAACAGUUCAGCUACUGCUGUAAUUUAAAGAGUAGUUGUCUCUAUUGCCAAACAUAAGCAAGUUUUCUGCAUGGGAGGAAUACUUCUAACUUUCCAAAGAAAACUACUACGAUGAUACAGCAAUUCUGAUUUUUAAAUUCUGUGUGCAGCCCUCCAAGCACCUUUUUAAAAAAUGGCUUGUUAAAUUCAUUAUAGAAAAGUAGGAAUUAAACUGAUUUUACCAGGAAAUUAAGCAAAAUUGCACAAGUCCAGGUACUUUGUUUCCUCCUUCUGCAGUCCCUGCAAAGCUUAAACCUAUUUCCUAUGAUUUCAUUGCAAUUCUAAAAAACAAAUACAUAUUACAGAAAGAGAAGCCAUCCCUCAAUUCUCCAAUUCCAUUGCUAAAAAAUUAUUAUAUAUGAAACGGUGAUUGUAAUGGUCAAUAAACCAUUUACUGUUUAAGAUGACUGAUGUUAUAAACUGAACGUACUACUUCUGAAGUACAUAGUUCUUUUUACUGAUAUAAUUAGAUGUUUGAAACUUCCACAGAUAAUUUUAUUUAUAGAAAAUAAAACCAGUUCAAGUUUCCACCAGUACCAGAAGUUAGAGAGCUGAUGUGAUCACUGAGAAAAAUUAAAAUAUUAUUAGUUAAAAAUCUCAGAAACACACAUAUAAAUCUGGUGAAAGAAUGAUCCAGUAAAGAAACCUACAUUUCAUCCUAAGAAUUCAGUAACUGCUCAACUACAUCAGUGUUGCUAAACUUUCAGGUCUACUGCCACAAAUAUCUGAUUUAGUUAAUGUUAAUAUCCACAUAGUAUAUGGUUGGCACCAGGCGAAGUCAUAUAAAUACCAGCAAUAUUCAAAAGCUUACAGUGCCAUAAUGUGGUUUCACUAGCUUCAUUCUUAUUUCUACAUUUUAAAUACACAAACCCACUAACCAGUUAUGUCAUUGCUGCACAGGAACUGAGGUCAUAAAUGAAGAAUACACUUAAGUAAAAGGCACAGGUCAGAAUCCUAGUCCAGGGAUGAGGAUGUAAUGUUCUCUCUCUGCUAGGGGUAUGGGUAUAACUUCAGAGGCCAUUUGAUCACCAUUGAAGGAGUUCACUUGCCUUGUUUACUGGUUUAGUGCCCUACUGAGUUUUUCAAACUAUGCAUCCUGAACGCAUAGUAUCCCAAACUCUCAGCUGGCAGCAGCAUUCAGCAGCACUUCAAUGCUCCGCUUGCUUCCAACUGAACAGUAAUUCACUUACUCAAGAGAGGAAUCAAAGAGCUGGCCAAAAACAGGGAUAAUCAUACAGUUUAGGAAGGCAGACUAGCCAGGGAUGGGUAGCUGGCAGAGAGAUUAUAAAGACUUCUACUUACUGGUAAUAUCUGGUCUGUAUUCCCCUGUCCCAGAGGAACUUAACACUUGUCCUAAAAUCACAUGACACAGAAGCCAGCAGCUGUCACUAUUAAAAACAGGUAGUCCAGGGAACAGUUAUAGAAGUUAUUAAACCAUGGGGCAAAUCCGCUGGCUGUUGCUGCAGAAAUCACUCCAAGCCUUCACAAAAAAACACCUAACCCUUCACUGCCACAAUUACUUCUAGAACCAUCAAUACUCACUGCCUGUCUCUAGACUGAAAUGCUGUCACUUGAGUGACAUUCACCAUUUUUUCCAGAGCUAGAUGUCACAUUUUGACAUCAAUUUAAAUUUUAUUGACAAUGCCAGGUUUACAGCCCUAAAACUGAAAGGGGGCAGUGUUACUUAACCAGAAAGUGGUGCUGUCUGUCACUGUUAAUUACAGCUCUCCUGCUGGGGGUUUUACAAGAAAGUAGGCCAGCAGGAAGCGUCAUUAUAUUACAGCCUGUAGCUCCAUGCAUGUGCUCCUAACUUGACAGUCAAGAGAUGUCCUUUAGCCUUUUUCACUGUGCUCUUCAAUAGGAAAACCAAACUGCUCAGAUUGCAU